GCGUUGUCAGUCGUUAAUUUUGUGUAUUUAAACAUAAAGAUUUAAUUGAUAAGUUAUUAAAUAAGGUGAUAUUAAUUUUCACAUAAUUUCUAUAUUGUGUGACUAAUAAAUAUAGAUUAUAACAUGCCCUUUUCCAUAUUGGCCCUGGUAUCAUCCCGAGACUCCCAUAUCGGCCUCGAGGCUCGAGACGUCAUGUCAUUUGGAAUCACGGCACAAUAACCAAGAACCUCUUUUUUGCCCCGGGCAAUUUUGAGGUUAUUGCAUAUGCAAAACCCAAUGCAUUCGUAACAAAUAUGUAAUAAUAUACAACUACUGUCUUUUCGUGGGGUAAAUAUGUGGUUUUAUUGACUUUUGAAAAACAGAUAUUCACUGAGUGUUUUCGAGUCAAUUAAACCACAUAUUUUACCGAAUCAAAUGACAGUAAUUGAUUUAUUCCAUGCAUGUCGUGAGGGAGGAAAAAUGUAGAAAAUAACAAUUAUUUACCAAAAACCAAC
rnacentral:lncRNA from 1 species